GUCGAGCGAGUGUUUAGAAGAUUUCUUCGGAUUGAAUCUUAAAUAUCUUACCGGCGGACGGGUGAGUAACGCGUGAGAAACCUGCCUUUCACAAAGGGAUAGCCUCGGGAAACUGGGAUUAAUACCUUAUGAUACUUUUUCUUCGCAUGAGGAAAAAGUCAAAGCGUAAAGCGGUGAAAGAUGGUCUCGCGUCCCAUUAGUUAGUUGGUGAGGUAACGGCUCACCAAGACAGCGAUGGGUAGCCGGCCUGAGAGGGUGAACGGCCACACUGGAACUGAGACACGGUCCAGACUCCUACGGGAGGCAGCAGUGGGGAAUAUUGCACAAUGGAGGAAACUCUGAUGCAGCGACGCCGCGUGAACGAUGAAGGCUUUCGAGUCGUAAAGUUCUGUCCUAGGGGACGAUAAUGACGGUACCCUAGGAGGAAGCCCCGGCUAACUACGUGCCAGCAGCCGCGGUAAUACGUAGGGGGCAAGCGUUGUCCGGAUUUAUUGGGCGUAAAGGGUACGCAGGCGGCCUUUUAAGUCAGAUGUGAAAGAUCACGGCUCAACCGUGGUAAGCAUUUGAAACUGGAAGGCUUGAGUUAAGGAGAGGAAAGUGGAAUUCCUAGUGUAGCGGUGAAAUGCGUAGAUAUUAGGAGGAAUACCAGUGGCGAAGGCGACUUUCUGGACUUAUACUGACGCUGAGGUACGAAAGCGUGGGGAGCGAACAGGAUUAGAUACCCUGGUAGUCCACGCCGUAAACGAUGAGUGCUAGGUGUCGGGGGUCAAACCUCGGUGCCGCAGCUAACGCAUUAAGCACUCCGCCUGGGGAGUACGUACGCAAGUAUGAAACUCAAAGGAAUUGACGGGG
rnacentral:rRNA from 1 species